CAGUCGCCGCGGUAAUACGGAGGGAGCUAGCGUUGUUCGGAAUCACUGGGCGUAAAGCGCACGUAGGCGGCUAUUCAAGUCAGGGGUGAAAGCCCGGGGCUCAACCCCGGAACUGCCUUUGAAACUAGAUAGCUUGAAUCUUGGAGAGGCGAGUGGAAUUCCGAGUGUAGAGGUGAAAUUCGUAGAUAUUCGGAAGAACACCAGUGGCGAAGGCGACUCGCUGGACAAGUAUUGACGCUGAGGUGCGAAAGCGUGGGGAGCAAACAGGAUUAGAUACCCCAGUAGUCCCUGUCUCUUAUAC
rnacentral:rRNA from 1 species